UUUCUUAUCCUUUUAAAAGUCUCCUGUCAUUGUUUCUCCUCGAGGAUCUUCUUUUGUUCCUUCUACAUCGCUGUAAAACGUCCAUAAAUAGAAGCUAAACACGAUAUAAACACACUAAAACUUUCUUUCUGUUCGCUGAAUCCCAAAUCGUACCCAGCUCCUUAUGUAGGACACAAGGGAUAACAAUAAAAUGACGUAUAAUCUAAAACCACGCACUAGUUAAUAUUUUACAUUUAAUAUUUAAUAUUUUAAACUAGAAUCAUUUUCUGUACAAUAAAGUACAGAUUUGGUGUUAAUAAGUAAUAAGUUUAUAAAAUUCGCGACCUCGAUUUCGUGCACUAGUUCACUACAUAGGAAGUCAGAAGCUAUUUGAGACUACCCCCAAAAAUACAAGCCACUUCCGUGUUAACUCAUGACUAGAGCGUGACUAGAACCAAUUUUUAGCCAAUGGGAGAAUGUUAUUUUCGAAGCUAAUUUGAAUAACCAAUAGCGUGACCGGCUCCGUCUAUCUUAGCCAAUAGGAGCUCCGUAUUCUAAUACAUAGUCUAAGCGGUAUGAUGUCGGCUCUCUCGGCUGACUAGCGGAGGAAACCGCAGGCGGAAGUUUUGACGUGAUUAUGCGGUUAUUUGUAUUGAAUAUCGGUUUAUUGGAUUUACAUAAGAAACAGCUCAAUUGGAAUCGAUUUGAAUGUGUUUUCGGCGCUGAUGUUACGCAGCAGCAGCUUGAGAGUUCAGUGGGGCCUGAAGAAGGAGAACAUAGAGAGCAUGUGGAGCCUGGAGAGUUCAGCUGAGUGCUGCAGAAACAAGAGCUCCACCCUGUUCUGAAAGCACAUCCUGGAAUACCGAUGUUGAAUCAACACACUUGCAUCACCUCACAUUAAGCCAGAGGCAUCAAAACCUGGAGCCUCGGCCUGGAAGAACCUGAAAAGCUGCUUCGUCUACUGAAGGUAAUCUUAUUCUACACACUGAGAGAUGAAGCGUUCUUUAAGGGUUCUUCUGUAAAAGCUGUGCUUCUGUGGACUGUAUGGGUCUUUACCUGGUUGUGUGAUUCUUUAUAUAAAAGGAGACGUUUUGUAGAU
rnacentral:lncRNA from 1 species